GACGUAGGGCGCGAGCGUUGUCCGGAUUUAUUGGGCGUAAAGAGCGUGUAGGCGGCCAUGCAGGUCCGUUGUGAAAACUCCGAGCUCAACCUCGAGACGCCGAUGGAAACCGCAUGGCUAGAGUCCGGAAGAGGAGAGUGGAAUUCCUGGUGUAGCGGUGAAAUGCGCAGAUAUCAGGAGGAACACCGGUGGUGUAAACGGCUUCCUGGACCAUACUGACACUGAGGCACGAAAGCGUGGGUAGCAAACAGG
rnacentral:rRNA from 1 species